rnacentral:lncRNA from 1 species
CUCAAGUGAUCUGCCUGCCCUGGCCUCCCAGAGUGCUGGGAUUCCAGGCGUGAGCCACAGCACCUGGCCCCCAUUAGUCUUUGAUCACUUCCUUGCUUCCUGGCAAAAUGAGAUUCUCCAGAACCAUCAUAGAUUUUCUCCCCUCACAGCUGGGGCCAGACAUUUCUCCAAGGUCUUAUUUUUAAGAACAAGCCAAUUUUUAUGUUCUAAAUUGACUUCACACCUCCUCAGGGAAACGCAGCCAGUAGUUUAAAAACAUCUUUGUAACAAAUGAAUGCUAAGCCCCACAUCUUCUCUCCUUAUCUAUAAAAUAGGGAUUACAAUACCACCUGCUCAUGGGAAUUUUCUGAGGAUAAAACGAGACAAUAAACAUAAAGCUCUUAGCACAGUCUGUGGGAACAAUUAAGCAUGAAAGCAUAAGCUGCUGCUCUCAUUGUCAACAUCUGAUUGAAAUCUUGUUUUUGAGACAGGGUCUUACCGUGUUGCUUAGGCUGGAGUGCAGCGGCACCGUCAGGGCUCACAGCAGUCUUGACCUCCCAGGCUCAAGUCAUCCUCUUGCCUCAGCCCCGCUAGUACCUGGGAUGACAGACUUGCACGACCAUGCACAGAAUCUGCAGCCUCACCGGUCCUCUCCAUGGUUUCCUGAAGGCCAUAGAAGGAAGACAGCGUCUCUGCAUUGUCCUGAACAUUAACUUUAUUGCUUCACUUUCGGUAGCUUCUGAUGAUGACAUGAAGUCACUGGCUGUGUAGAAGGUUGAUUUUGUGCAGAAUUAGACCAAGUAAUUGGAAAUACUGAAGGAGCAAAUAAAUAUGAUAUGGGAGUGU